ensembl:snRNA U6 U6 spliceosomal RNA
GUGCUUGUUUCGGCAGCACAUAUAUUAAAAUUAGAAUGAUACAGAGAUUAGCAUGGCCCCUGCGCAAGGAUGACACACAAAUUCGUGAAGCAUUCCAUAUUUAA